AACCCAUUCAAUAUUCAUAAUUCAUUCUUCCCAAGUUCCACUUCCACUCUUCUCUCUCCGUUGGCCUCGACUUUGUACUUCUCGAUCUGCCACUCAGCCGCUUAGGGAAGAUUCCACAUUUCUGCCGGCCUUCAACGUUCGAGCCCUAGAUGCAGUACCUUCAAGCCCUUGAACUUCUCUAGAUGCGACAGCCGACAGCAGUCCUUCGAAUCUACAUUUCCACGAUUCAACAGCAGAAGAAGAAGACUUAGAAGCCCCAGGCUUGUGAAGUCCUCGAGCCUAAUUCGAUGAAUACUGAAGCCUGCUCAAGUCUCUAUGUACUCUGCUUUGUUCAACGACCACCUCACUAUCAAUUUUGCCCUGCGGGACCUUUCGUUGCGACCAUGGUUAUUUGAACUCUCUCUUUCAUGAUACGGUGGUCGACCAAGCCAUAUCAUUAGCCCCAUGAUCACAGAUGAAUCACAUUCUUUGUUAAGCACUUUUUCUCAGCACAGACGGUCUAGCAUUAUCGCAGUACAUUAUCCAUGCAACACUACCACAUCAUCCGUUGUGUGGGCAAGUCAACUGGUUUUGCAACUUCAUGAAUAUCCAUGAUUUUGACAUCUUGUCUUCUACUUGCAGUUCUUAGCCUAGGUCAAUAAUCACAUUGGUCUAGGUUGCCAUGUUGAUAAUUUGCAUUAGCUCAGGAUUUGAGCGAGAAGGAUGAAGAGUCUUCUCAAAUUUCGGAUGAAGAAUUUCUAGUAAUUUGAUUUAUUUCCGUUUUGCAUUUAGAUACUUGCUCUAUCCUAUAAGAUUGUGAAUUUAAAAGGAGUCAACAUAAUUUCUUGUGUGAUGGACAAAGUGCAAUUUGUGCAAAUUUAGUGACCAUUUGAAAUUCA